UAUUAUUAGUAACAAAGUGAUUAAAAUAAGAGGACUCAAUUUGGAAAAUUUGAGAUGUGAAGCCUUACUGGUUAAAAAGAAAUCAAUAGAUACAAGGUCACUAAUUUAGUACUUCCAUUUUCGUAUCUUUUGAAAAAGAGGCCCCCCUCAAGUUCUAUAAGCUUCAAGCUCCAGAAAUCCUGGAUCUGCCCCCGGUGAUGGCUCGGCCCCUUCACUUGCUGGGAGGAGAAGGGCUGAUGAGAACUUCUCCAGGCCAAGCAGUGACCCAUGGAUCACCCCAGGAG
rnacentral:lncRNA from 1 species